rnacentral:tRNA from 1 species
AGGGGCGUCGCCAAGUGGUUAGGCACCGGGUUUUGAUCUCGGCGUCCGUUGGUUCGAAUCCAGCCGCCCCUGCCA